AGGAGAAAGCUUUCAGAAGUGCUUUUCAUGCUCAGAAGCGAGUUUGUCCUCUUUGAUCAUUGGACCCGGAAAGGUUGGGAUUGGCUUUGAUUCCUUAUCUGAACUGUUUGCCUUUUGAUCAUGAACUGAAUCUGUGUUUUCUUCUGCUUCUGUUUGAUCCAUGGAAUAGAUAGGUACAACACCAGAAGGAUUUCUCAAUGAAGACUGAAGAGUUUCCAAAUAUCUAGUGUCGCAGGAACGCUUUGAUUGACCAACUGAAAACUGUUGAACCCUUCUGAUUUCGUUAUUAUCGUGGUUAGCAGCAACUCUAUAGGAAGCAUGUGCCCCUGGUUGUAGCUGGUGUGCAUUCGAAAGCUUGUUGUCGGUUUUUAGCUUGGUCAAUUGCUGUUAAGUUAGUGUGACAUGGUAAAGCAGGUUAAAGUUAAUGCAGGUUUUGGCUUUUCCGCUUUGUUCGCUGUCAUUUGCAGUCGGCAUCUGCGGCUUCUCUUAGUAUCCUUUGCCUCAAUGAAGUUACUACCAUUUAUUGAUUCUGAUUGCACAACAACAUCAUUCCAAGAUAAUAUGCUAUCUGGAGCUUCCGCAUCUAUUUCCUUGGUUAUGCCGAUGAUGUCUUUGGAUUGUACCAACUGCGCUUGGCAUUGCCUUCAUGGCUUGACUUGCAGCUGGAUUGUAUCUGCGGUGUCGUUGUUCGGCCUUGGCAGCUUGGAAUUGUAGCGCACAGCUGGGAGUUUUGGAAGUGUUGAUGCCGUUUUUGGAUUGUUAGCUUAAGUUUGCAGCUUGAAGUAUUGGCUCACGCGGAUGUCGCCGUUGUGGAGUUCUUUAUUGGCUUAGCUGGGAAUGCAGCUCACGUGCUACCUUGGGUGUGUUUUCGUGCCAUUUCUGUUUGCAGCGUUGCAGGCCUUUGGAGGUUGGAUAGAAUUGACCGCACCGCCGAAGGCUGCAUAGCAGAUGACGCUUGCAUGACUGAUUUGAGAGGUAUUCGACGGGUUUGGUUGCAGAAGGCUCCGCUGUUGUUGUUGCGGGACUCGGAUAGACUUUUUCAUUUGAAUUGCUCAUGAUGUAUGCCAUGAAGUUUGAUGUAUGUAGCAUAAAAUGUAUAUGAAUAACCAAUGAGGCAUAAUGUAAUGCUUAUGUAAAAUGCUUGUUUUAAUAUGUAAAAUGUGCUUAUGAUAUGUAAAUAUUAAUGGAAUGAAGUGUAUGAGAAUGUAGCAUUA